UGAGGAAUAUUGGUCAAUGGGCGCGAGCCUGAACCAGCCAAGUAGCGCGCAGGAUGACGGCCCUAUGGGUUGUAAACUGCUUUUGUAUGGGGAUAAAGUCAAUCACGUGUGAUUGUUUGCAGGUACCAUACGAAUAAGGACCGGCUAAUUCCGUGCCAGCAGCCGCGGUAAUACGGAAGGUCCGGGCGUUAUCCGGAUUUAUUGGGUUUAAAGGGAGCGUAGGCCGGAGAUUAAGUGUGUUGUGAAAUGUAGACGCUCAACGUCUGACUUGCAGCGCAUACUGGUUUCCUUGAGUACGCACAACGUUGGCGGAAUUCGUCGUGUAGCGGUGAAAUGCUUAGAUAUGACGAAGAACUCCGAUUGCGAAGGCAGCUGACGGGAGCGCAACUGACGCUUAAGCUCGAAGGUGCGGGUAUCGAACAGGAUUAGAUACCCUGGUAGUCCGCACAGUAAACGAUGGAUGCCCGCUGUUGGUACCUGGUAUCAGCGGCUAAGCGAAAGCAUUAAGCAUCCCGCCUGGGGAGUACGCCGGCNACGGU
rnacentral:rRNA from 1 species